rnacentral:tRNA from 1 species
GCAUUGGUGGUUCAAUGGUAGAAUUCUUGCCUUUCAUGUGGGAGACCCAGGGUCCAUCCCUGGCCAAUGCA